rnacentral:lncRNA from 1 species
CAAGAAUGGUGGUGAUGGCGUUUGUGCGCCGCAACUACGACCUGGCGGUGACGGAAUGCUACGCAUAUUAUUACUUAUGUAGGUGCUCAUAUGUGUGUCGCGAACAGAAAAAAAGAUCAGAUACCCUUAUAAACCAAAUAGUAAGGGUAAGAGGUGAAUUAUAGAGAUUACUAUCCAGUGAAUUAAGUACACAAACAAUAUAGGUAGAUACUUAAUUAUUGCUUAGAGAUGAGCAUUGAAGAAUACCAGCUGCCCCUAAGGUAUAAACGACAAACAAUAACAAAGGCUGGAACUGGAAUGAAGAAUAUAUAUCUUGUGGAAAAUAUAACUGCUGGAAACAAACCCGGUACUAAAUAGGUACUUUAGCAAAUAGGUACCUAUGACAUUUUCUCCUAUUAGGAUGAUGUAGGUGUCGUCAAGUGCCUAAAUUCAGUAAGUAAACAGUAUUCAUGUA